AUGCCUCGUCAUCUAAUUAGUGACGCGCAUGAAUGGAUUAACGAGAUUCCUACUGUCCCUAUCUACUAUCUAGCGAAACCACAGCCAAGGGAACGGGCUUGGAAUAAUUAGCGGGGAAAGAAGACCCUGUUGAGCUUGACUCUAGUCUGGCAGUGUAAGGAGACAUAAGAGGUGUAGCAUAAGUGGGAGAUAUAUUAGUUUCGGCUAAAUAUAUCAAAAAUGAAAUACCACUACUCUUAUUGUUUCCUUACUUACUUGAUAAAAUGGAACGUGUAUCAUUCACUUAGCCAUUACACGGAUAUAUUUAUAUAUUUUAUGGUAUUUUGUUUUGAUGCGAGCUUCUUGUUUAAAGUACCAAGAGUUUGUUAUAUACACCAAACAAAUAUCAAUUAAAUUUGCUUUCCAUUAAUAAUGGUUUGUUAAAUAUUAAUUGAAUUUGGUAUAACUAUUAUACUCAGGUAUGAUCCAAUUCAAGGACAUUGCCAGGUGGGGAGUUUGACUGGGGCGGUACAUCUCUCAAAUAAUAACGGAGGUGUCCCAAGGCCAGCUCAGUGCGGACAGAAACCACACAUAGAGCAAAAGGGCAAAUGCUGACUUGAUCUCGGUGUUCAGUACAUACAGAGACAGCAAAAGCUCGGCCUAUCGAUCCUUUUGGUUUAAAGAGUUUUUAACAAGAGGUGUCAGAAAAGUUACCACAGGGAUAACUGGC
rnacentral:rRNA from 2 species